AGAAUCAACGCUGGCGGCGUGCCUAACACAUGCAAGUCGCGCGAGAAAGGGUAGCAAUACCUGAGUAAAGUGGCGCACGGGUGAGUAACACGUGAAUGAUCUACCUCCGAGUGGGGAAUAACUGAGAGAAAUCUUAGCUAAUACCGCAUAGCACUUACGAGUCAAAGCAGCAAUGCGCUUGGAGAGGAGUUCGCGGCCGAUUAGUUAGUUGGCGGGGUAAUGGCCCACCAAGACGAUGAUCGGUA
rnacentral:rRNA from 1 species